UAUGACCAUGACUACCUUGAAACAGAUCUGAUCUCAUCUGAUUUCAGAAGCUAAGCAGGCCUGGUUAACAGCCAGAUGGCAAACCACCAAGGAAUAUCAUAGAUGGGCAGGU
rnacentral:rRNA from 1 species